UUAGUGGUCUAAGGUUGAUUGGAGUCACACCAAUCAAUCAGAGACAUCACGCCCUUGAAAGGGGUAAAUGGAGUUACACCACCAAGGAAGCAAGUGCUGGAAAUGUUUGUUUUCAUUAUCACUUUCUUUGGUCUUAAAUAUGAAAUUUGUUUUUGGAGCUUUAUUAACAACAAAAGUAUGUAGCUAGUUCGAAUUUAUUCUUUUUGAUUUAGUUGUGUCAUUUGUUUUUCCAAAACAAGUAGAUUCCUAGAUUUUCUUUUCUUUUUUCUUUGCUUCAAAAUUUGCUGCAUCCUGGACCUUAAUUUCCCUCCCAAAUCUGCUGAAUUACCAUAUCUCAGCCCAAACUCAACUUCCCCAAUUUACUAUGUUUAGUUGAAUUGCAAUGGGAAUUUUAUUCUUACCAAAAGAAAAGAAACAAAAAGUGAUGAUAAGGGGUCAUACCAAAGAACCAAAGAGGAAAAGAAAAUAGCCCAAAGGGAACAGGCCUCCCCCCAUCGCCAUGAAGACAAAGCUGAACCUAACGUCUCUUUGAGACAGUCAAAGACCACAAUCGCUAAUAAGGUUAGGGAUGGAAAUCCCUCAGAACUUGGAUUAGGAAUGGCCCUUGCCACCAUGACUUGAUUUUUUUCUGCUUGGACAACACCCUAGAGAAUUCUGUCUUCAAAGAUUCUAAGGCCCUGUUUGGUAGUUGCCUAAAAAUGAGUUCAUCUCAUUUAAUUAAUUAUUAUUUAUUUAUAGUACAAACAAGAGGGAAAAGGAAAACUAAAAUACAUUAAGACGCCCAUCGACAUUGAGUCUCUACAUGCUCCCGCUUCUCGUUUUCAUCCCUAUUAACCCUUGAGAAAAUCACUCUUGAUUAACAAUCAAGUCUCUCAACUCAUCAAUUAUACCAGCCAUCCUCCCGGGAUAAGUGUUUGAGAACGUCCAAUAUACCGCAUAUGUAGAAUCUCCUUGGCCCCUACCAGAACGAAGUUGUAUCUAACAGCCACUUUGAUUGCAUAAACACCCGCGGCAGCCUCUGCAUAAUUUGAAUCAGCAACUCCUACCAGGCCCAAGAAAUCUGCUAAUAGCCUCUCGCUGCUAUUGAACACCUUUCAGGCCCAGGAUUACCAAAUGAGUACCCAUUCAAAGUAAUUUAGACCAGUACUAUUGAACACCAUUUAUCUCAUUUUUGUUAAUAGUAGUUAUGUAUUAGAGAGCUUGAUCUCUAUUACAUAACUACUGUUAACAUGAAUUCAUUAUGCAUUGGAGGUCGAGAUCUUUAAUACAUAAUCAUUGUUAGCUAUACCAACUUCCAAUAGUAUUACCUGGGGUGCGAAAUGAACUUUUCUCCCAACCCACAAUAAGAUAGAUCUGUGAGAGGGGGCAUUGAUAGUUGAGGACACCCCAAAAAGCUUGAAGAAGCGACUCCAAAGGCUUCUCUUGAAAAAUACAGUGGAUUUGUUCUCCCAUCUUCUCUUCCUCCAAACUGCUGGUGGUGUAAUGUGUCUUGCUUCACUCCCACUGGCAUUAAGCGGGCUUCUUUUCCCCAAUGCUGAACCAUGGAGCUCUUCUCCAUCAUUUGUGAAAUUUAUCAAAAAUUAUUUGUCCUUUAUGUGUAAUGUGCAGCAGUCGUAGUGCCCGCUAUCACUAUCAUGAUCGGAGAAUUUUAGUUAGCACUGAGGUCAUGUCUCUAAUGAGGGCUGUAUUCAGAGUUGCUGGCCCUAUGUGAGCUGCCGGAACAGGCCUCUACUAAUGUAGAACUUGCCAUUGGUCUUGUUGCUUGUCCAUGUAAUUUUGCUGGUAGAGUGAAUCCCCUGCUUCGGGACUUGCCUUCCCAAAAUAUGAUUGCCUGAUCAAGAGAGACGGGGCUUAUUUCUUUCGACUUUGUUUCAAGUAUUUUUAGUGAUGCCUACAUGCUAAUAAUGAGUUUGCAAACAUUCUUGCUGGAGAUCAUGUGAUGGGAGACGGUGAUUCCUUGUUGGAAAAUCAUAUCCUCUUUCUUACCUCAUUGUAUUUUUGUUGUUUUGACAAGUUUCUUCAUUCGGAAGUGCGUAUAUGCGUGUGCCGUCUCUUUAGAAAUCACCUUGCUAGUCCUAUUAUGGCUAUUGUUUUGAUUGUAAAAGACCCUUUGUUAAGGUUGCUUUCUUAUUUCUGUUCUGCUAUUCUCUCUUGAUUCAUGUCAUGCAUCAAUGCGCUCUAUCUUGUGAUUGUAGCAGACAUUCUUGUUUAAUGGAGAGGAUGUAAAUGCCAUUUUCAUGAGCAGGACUAGGGUGCAACUCUAGCCUAAGAAUGUUUCUAAUCUCUAUUAUGUAUUUUUAACCUGAUCAUGUGUGCUUCUCAUCUCGACAGGUGUAUGCAAUCAUGCAUUCCACUUCCACUGUAUCAGCCGAUGGCUCAAAACUCGCCAAGUGUGUCCGCUGGAUAACAGCGAGUGGGAAUUUCAGAAGUACGGUCACUAGAGCUGGCCCGGCAAAUGCAUUAUCCAGGGUAGCCUCUCUUUCUGCUGGUCCCAAAGGUCGACAAGGAAAUGGAAUCAGGGAUAUUAUUUACUUGACAUCUAUAUAUAUACUGUUUGUUCUUGUUUCUCCCAAUCCCUGAAUUUAGUGGCUGUUUGGUGCUGGGUUUCCAGAGGGCUGCGCUUGUGUGACUGUUUAUACUUUGUUUUUGAGGAACUGAAGAUAUUAGUUCUCUCUCCACAA